rnacentral:rRNA from 1 species
UACGCAGGCGGUUAAAUUAGUCAGAUGUGAAAUACCCGGGCUUAACCCUGGUGCUGCGUCUGAUACUGUUUAACUAGAGUUACUGAGAGGAAAGCGGAAUUCUUGGUGUAGGGGUGAAAUCUAUAGAUAUCAAGAAGAACAUCUGUGGCGAAGGCGGCUUUCUGGCAGUCAACUGACGCUCAUGUACGAAAGGUAGGGUAGCAAACA